AUUUAUAUAGUUUAAUAAAAACAUUACAUUUUCAUUGUAAAAUUAACUUUAUUUUUAUAAAUA
rnacentral:tRNA from 1 species